rnacentral:rRNA from 1 species
ACGCUGGCGGCAGGCCUAACACAUGCAAGUCGAGCGGUAGAGAGAAGCUUGCUUCUCUUGAGAGCGGCGGACGGGUGAGUAAUGCCUAGGAAUCUGCCUGGUAGUGGGGGAUAACGUUCGGAAACGGACGCUAAUACCGCAUACGUCCUACGGGAGAAAGCAGGGGACCUUCGGGCCUUGCGCUAUCAGAUGAGCCUAGGUCGGAUUAGCUAGUUGGUGAGGUAAUGGCUCACCAAGGCGACGAUCCGUAACUGGUCUGAGAGGAUGAUCAGUCACACUGGAACUGAGACACGGUCCAGACUCCUACGGGAGGCAGCAGUGGGGAAUAUUGGACAAUGGGCGAAAGCCUGAUCCAGCCAUGCCGCGUGUGUGAAGAAGGUCUUCGGAUUGUAAAGCACUUUAAGUUGGGAGGAAGGGUUGUAGAUUAAUACUCUGCAAUUUUGACGUUACCGACAGAAUAAGCACCGGCUAACUCUGUGCCAGCAGCCGCGGUAAUACAGAGGGUGCAAGCGUUAAUCGGAAUUACUGGGCGUAAAGCGCGCGUAGGUGGUUUGUUAAGUUGGAUGUGAAAUCCCCGGGCUCAACCUGGGAACUGCAUUCAAAACUGACUGACUAGAGUAUGGUAGAGGGUGGUGGAAUUUCCUGUGUAGCGGUGAAAUGCGUAGAUAUAGGAAGGAACACCAGUGGCGAAGGCGGCCACCUGGACUAAUACUGACACUGAGGUGCGAAAGCGUGGGGAGCAAAC